UACGUAGGGGGCAAGCGUUAUCCGGAUUUACUGGGUGUAAAGGGAGCGUAGACGGCUGUGCAAGUCUGGAGUGAAAACCCGGGGCUUAACCCCGGGACUGCUUUGGAAACUGUAUAGCUUGAGUACCGGAGGGGUAAGCGGAAUUCCUAGUGUAGCGGUGAAAUGCGUAGAUAUUAGGAGGAACACCAGUGGCGAAGGCGGCUUACUGGACGGUAACUGACGUUGAGGCUCGAAAGCGUGGGGAGCAAACAGG
rnacentral:rRNA from 1 species